UGGAGGUGGCUGAGUGAUAAAGCGCUUGGCUUGCGAUCCGAGAGGUCCUAGGUUUGAAUCCUGGUGAAAA